rnacentral:rRNA from 1 species
CCUACGGGGGGCAGCAGUGGGGAAUAUUGCACAAUGGGCGCAAGCCUGAUGCAGCGACGCCGCGUGAGGGAUGACGGCCUUCGGGUUGUAAACCUCUGUUAGCAUCGAAGAAGCGAAAGUGACGGUAGGUGCAGAGAAAGCGCCGGCUAACUACGUGCCAGCAGCCGCGGUAAUACGUAGGGCGCGAGCGUUGUCCGGAAUUAUUGGGCGUAAAGAGCUUGUAGGCGGUUGGUCGCGUCUGCUGUGAAAGGCUGGGGCUUAACCCUGGUUUUGCAGUGGGUACGGGCUAACUAGAGUGCAGUAGGGGAGACUGGAAUUCCUGGUGUAGCGGGGGAAUGCGCAGAUAUCAGGAGGAACACCGAUGGCGAAGGCAGGUCUCUGGGCUGUAACUGACGCUGAGAAGCGAAAGCAUGGGGAGCGAACAGGAGUAGAUACCCCCGGUAGUC